rnacentral:lncRNA from 1 species
CCGAGUUAAUGGCAGUUUCCAUAUAGCCUAUGGAAUUUCUUAGAGUUGUAGGGUAUACCUCUUAGCGCAGAAGUAACACAGAUUUCUCAGAGUUGUGAUGAUUUUUACAGAGUCUUUAAAAUACCCAUGUGAAUUCUUACUAUACGAUAUACUCAUGAACUAUUUUAAAUUACUCUCAUAUAUGUUGGAUAAUAAAUUAUUAUUUUGGAUAUGCUCUGCGUACCAGUACAUCUGUAUUGACCCCUCCC